AAACGAGCUGCAGUCUGAGUGUUUCCUUCACUAAGGCCAGAAUACAGAGCGCUGCACUAUGACGGACAGGUGCAGAGAGCCCAGACAACUGUUGGCGGUGUAAUAAACAUUUACCCGUCUGUCUGACAGGACAUGGUGGCGUACCGCGGCGGCGGCACGUACGCCAGGAACCCCGGCUCUUCAGCUCAGGGAGGGGAGGAAGAGGAGGACGACGAAGGAGAGGACGAAGACGAGGAGGACGACGACGACGAGUAGAAGACGAGCUGCAGCUGGAUGAGAGGGAGAGACUGAAUGUGUUAGAGAGAGAGAGAGACAGGUAGGUGUGUGUGUUUCAGAGGUAGGACAGUGUUGAGGUGCAGGUGAGGGCCUGUGACAGCUGAUUGGACAAGAGCAGGCAGGGGGCGGAGCUUCACAGCAGAAACAAAGUAAAGGGAGACGUGGUGACAGCUGACUGAAAGCAGGUCUGAGGUCAGGUGAGCUUUCAGUAAGAUGUUUUCUUUCCUCCAGUUGGAUCAGUUGAGUCAAACCUCACCUGUGCAGGUGAAGCUACAUCACCAGUCACAUGUUACUGACCCCACCGAAGAUCACCUGGAACUCAGGUGUCGCCGUCCGACGUGGAGUCCAGAUCAGUUCAGGACCAGACAGAAGGUCAGUGAAGACGUCUGGAAGACCUCAGCUAGGAACUUCAGCCGCUGUCUGCCCGAGGUCAGGGGUCAUUAGAGGUCGUCAGGGUCGUCUGUCAGUAGCCAGGACGGCAGUGUUUUUCUUCCAUACACGAUUCCGUGUAGAAAAUCAUGUUAUAUUAGUCGAUCAGUUGAUGAACAGAAAGUUGAUCAGCAGCUGUUUCUGUCAUUGAAGAAUACUUUUCAGUUUCCAGCUUCUCAAAUGUGAGAAGCUGAAAUAAAUCAAUAAAUAAUGAUUGUUGGUCAAACACAACAAGACGUCACUUGUAUUUCUAACUUAUUGAUUAGUUGAAAGGAGCAGUGAGAGUGGUCGUUAGCAGCGUGUUGCUGGUCUGAGCUGUUGGACCAGUUCAGGACCAAGCAGACUGGUUUUAUACCAGUUCAAGCUGCUCACCAGUAGCUGUGCUGGGUAACAGGAAGGGUUUCUGAUGGUCAAGGUCUCCUGAUGAGGAUCCAGGUCUGCAGAUGAGGGUCUACAUCUACAGAUAAGGGUCCAGUUACUGGUCAGGGUCAAGGUCUCCUGAUGAGGAACCAGCUAAUGAUGAGGUUCCAGGUCUCCUGUUGAAGGUCCACGUCUCUGCCACAUUCAGCUGUAUCCAGGUCAUGUGACAGAGCAGACAGUCCUCAGCCCGACCUCGUCGCCCAUCAGACAGGCAGAGAGAGAGAGACAGGUCGCUCUGAAGCACACACACAGGACCACAGAGUGUGUGUGUGUUACUGUGUGUUGUAUGUGUGUGCGCGUGCAUGUGUGUGUGGUCAUCAGAUGUUAAACUGUCCGGCACCAGAGGAUAGUAAAGUAACCCCCCCCCCCCCCUUCCUCCACCCAACCCACACUGUAACCAUGGUUACCCUGCACCCUCCCUAAGCCCCAUCUCCACCAUCACCUCUGUGUGUUACCAUGGAAACCUGACCCCACCUCCUGCUCUUCAUCAUGUUGUUUUUUUAUUUUCUUACUGGAGGUUUAUGGACUGUUUCUGUUCCUUGUUCACUGUCAGAGUAGAAACUUUUAUAAUAAAACAACCACCUG